rnacentral:rRNA from 1 species
UUUGAUGGUGGCUCAGAUUGAACGCUGGCGGCAGGCCUAACACAUGCAAGUCGAGCGGUAACAGAUUGAUAGCUUGCUAUCAAUGCUGACGAGCGGCGGACGGGUGAGUAAUGCCUGGGAAUAUACCCUGAUGUGGGGGAUAACUAUUGGAAACGAUAGCUAAUACCGCAUAAUCUCUUCGGAGCAAAGAGGGGGACCUUCGGGCCUCUCGCGUCAGGAUUAGCCCAGGUGGGAUUAGCUAGUUGGUGGGGUAAUGGCUCACCAAGGCGACGAUCCCUAGCUGGUCUGAGAGGAUGAUCAGCCACACUGGAACUGAGACACGGUCCAGACUCCUACGGGAGGCAGCAGUGGGGAAUAUUGCACAAUGGGGGAAACCCUGAUGCAGCCAUGCCGCGUGUAUGAAGAAGGCCUUCGGGUUGUAAAGUACUUUCAGUUGUGAGGAAGGCGUUGGAGUUAAUAGCUUCAGCGCUGACG